UACGAAGGGGGCUAGCGUUGCUCGGAAUUACUGGGCGUAAAGGGCGCGUAGGCGGCACUGUUAGUCAGGCGUGAAAGUCCUGGGCUCAACCUGGGAACUGCGCUUGAUACGGCAGAGCUAGAGGAUGGAAGAGGGUCGCGGAAUUCCCAGUGUAGAGGUGAAAUUCGUAGAUAUUGGGAAGAACACCGGUGGCGAAGGCGGCGCUCUGGACCGAGACUGACGCUGAGGCGCGAAAGCGUGGGGAGCAAACAGGG
rnacentral:rRNA from 1 species